UGCCCCCCCCGCACCGGCGGCGGCCCCCCCGUAACGGAAACGGCGCGCGGGGCCCCUGAGGGGCGGCGCGCGCUCCCCCCUCCCGCCCCCCCCCCCACCGCCGGGGGAAUGCGGGAUGUGGGGAUUUGGGAUGAGGGAUGGCGGGUGCCCUGGCCCGCCCUCCUCCUCGGCACCGGCUCCCCCUCCACCCCCACCCCGCCAGCCUCCGCCUGCCGCCCGUGCGGGGGGGGGGUCCACGCCCCGGGAAUCGCGGGGAGAAACCGGCCGGAGGUGCCGCUGGCACAUGUCCCCUCUCCACACACGUCCGUGAGGGAGGCGGGAUGAGAGCGUGAGGGAGGAGAAGCAGCUCCUUGCUGAGCAACCCCCCGGCUCAGAGCACCCACCGGCGGGGAGAUCCCUGGGCUGUUUUCUCUGGUGGGAGAAAGCACCGGGUUAAGCAGCAGCCCGGAGCUGAGCAGGGAGGGACCAGGCAGUAAUGGCAAACAGACACAACCUAUCAACUCCUAAAAACGCUCAAGGGUCCCAUCCUGGACAAACGCUCCGUGUCUUCGGGGGAUUAGACAUCAAAUGUGGUUCGGUUUCGAACUGGCAGCGAGGAGUUUUGAAGAUUCGCAGCAAUCCCCCGCCCUUUUCAGACCGAGAUUUACUCUGUGAAAAGAGGGCUUUCAACAUCCACUAAUCCUCCCUCCUUCACCUCCACAAAAAUGUUCUUAAAAUGGGCGAUCUCGCGGGCUGCGAGGAAGAGCCUUUCCAAGCACACCGAUGCAGGGACCCACCGAGCAGAGAGAGCCAGCUGAUCAGCUUUGCAUAUCCGCGAUGCCUGAAUAACCUGUUUGCCCAAUACACCACCAGUGAACAGAAAUGCAGUGUGUCCUCCCUCUCCCUUUAUCCUCAAACGACCCAUUCUUUGUCCGACUCCCACCCUGCCCAACUCCCACUUUUAAAUAACCCAGCUCUUCGGAAGAAGACCCUUUCAGCGCAACCAUUCACACUGGGCGUUGCUCUGGCAGAUAAAAGCACCUCCUCUCUCUGCCCAGCUUCCCACCCCUAAGGGGCUUUUCCACUUUUUGCCCUGCUCUUCUCCUCCCCUUGUCCAUGCCCGCAUGGAAACACUGUUAAAGAACUCUUUACAGCUUCCUGAGUAGGAAUUAUCACCUCUUCCCCAGAUACUUUUCCUUGAGGGGGAUACUCCCUAAGAGUGGGGUUUCAGUCCCUUCUGAUUUGCAGACCAGAGACCCGAAGCAGUUCCCGCUGAACAGACUUUCAGCCCACUCACACCUUUUCCAGACAAGUCCCUGGGGCUACAAGUUCCCAGGAUCCACUACCCCCCAAGGUGAAAACCUGUGGUCUCUGAUGAGUCUUUCCACCUCCCCUACUGACACCAGCCCCACCUGCACCUUUCCAGUGAUCCCGGCAGCGCCUUCUACAGCUGAAGUGUUGGCUGUGAAACCCAACUGAUCGGCUCCACUGGAACCACCACCUUUGCUGCCAUCGGUUCCACAAACCCUUUCAUACCUGACGUACAACCCCCCUCUGUUUUUACACUGAUAUGGGCCACAAAAUGGAACACCCACUAUUGCUCCCCUCCUAGUGGGCUGAGGCCAGGAAAGGCUGCCCCAGCAGCAGCACUGCAGGGCAGACCAGCGAGGCAACCAUCCAUGGUGAAAGGAAGAGAUGUGCCUCACAGUGCCUCAGACAGAAGACCCGGUCUGGCUCUCCUCGACACCAGGAACCUGUCGUGCUUUGCUUAAAAGGAGGUUUGUUUCCCCUGGGCAGUAGAGGCUGGGAUUUUUCUAGGGAGAGCCUAAGGAAGCCAGGCAACCCAACUUCCAUUUUCCAAAGGUACCUUUGAAAAUCCUACCCCGUCCUUCGAUCCCAACACAUGCGACAGCAGCGAUAAAAUACGAGGUGAUAGCGGGACUGCCUUUUUUGUUCUCCUCUCUCCUCUGGCCAGUACUUCGCUGUCUUGUCCCUUGAGGAGUCAGACCGGGGAAAAGGAGCACAAAAUGCUACUAGUUUGCAGAUGCUGCGGUUCCUCCGACUCCCCUCCCAUCCCCCCGACCCCAUCCCCCCACAUUUCAAACAGUUAUAAAUGACUGUGCAACUCUGCAGGCAGCGGUCUCAAAUAACCACACCAAGCCUCUCCCCUCCAACGGCUUUAAGUCUCUUCCUUCCUCUCUUUGGGGCUCCGGAGAGCAGCUAUCAAGGUGUUUUGCUUCACUCUCCAGAGUUAAGUUGCUACUUCACCCACCACCUUUGGGAAUCCGCCACGGCAGUGAAUUCCCUAGGCAGGAAUUCUCAGCUGAGAAAUCCCUCCCUCCCGCUGUUCUUGAAGGGUUUUACCAUGGGAACUGACAACAACAGGCUCCCAAAUGAUCUUAACUGCGAAGACAGGUUGUAAGUCAGGAUUUCAGGUAGCAGAGCCCCCUCAGACGGUGGGACGGUCAGUGCCAGCCUCGAGAGCAGCCCCCCGUUUUGGGGCCUUGCCCUCCCUUGUCCAACCUCAUAAAAGCUGCCCCAGAGAAGCCAGCUGUCCCGGCUCUUUAGAGCACUCUGGCAAAUCCAAGAACAUCUUGGAAACAUUACAGCCCUCACCACACUGUGUGCGCUCUCCUCACAACUCCCUGUCCGCAGCAAGGACAGGAGAUCGGCCCGUCUACUCAAAAGCAGGGUCCUCUUCCAUUAGAGCAAACCAAUCCUAAGGAAAGUUGCCACAGGAGCUCCAGUGCUGUGGAGCAGACAAGAUAGCCCAGCCAGCUAAAUACAUUUGCAUGACACUUUCUGCACAUGGUUCAGAGCAUGGCACACCCCAAUCGCAGCUUUUAUUCUCUUUAAGGGCCCAGCCCUGCAAACACUUAAUUUUACAUGUGUAAGUAGAGUCCCACUGAAGCAUAAUGGAGCUACUCAUGCAAAUAACAUUGAGAGCGUGUAGGGCUGUGGCUCUGUUUCACUAUUCCAUCUGCAGCAGACCCAGUUUUAGAGGAUCCUGCCAUGCUCUCUCAGUUAUUGCCGCUCACUUGUGCCAGCUAAACUAUUCAUGUAGCUACACUCACAGGUGAGCUGCUUAAACAGUCCAACUCUUUUUUAAAAACCCUACUAAGAAGGACAAAUCCUUAAGGCCAGACCAGCUCUGAUGCAGAUUUCAUCCCCACGAGCGCCUGAACUGGCACAACUGGAGGAGGUGGAAACAUCUGAGGAACAGGAAUUUUGAAGAUGCGAUUGAGGGAAGGCGAAAUGGCGACACGGAGCCUUAGCUUGUGAAGGCUGGAGGCAUUACCCUCUUCUGAAGUUACACCCUGCUCCUGAGCAUCCACUCUCUGAAGCGGAACCUUCUCCAACCACACAGUCAUUCCACAUGAAACAAGUUUCACCCCAAAUGCAACAGCAGAUUGGGCCUUUUCAGUCAUUAAAACUUAAAAACCUUGCCUCGAGAAAAGCCAUCACCAGUACGAAGAGUGUUUUACCCAGGAUCAGGGACGUGCACUCCUCCUUGCAGGCGAGGAGUUACUGUCCUCUACAGACCUAUGCUGAUGAUCUCUAUACUGGAGAACCAAAUCAGGAAGUACAGUCGCCCACUCAUGUAGCAAACAGAUAAGUAAUAAAGCAGCACACUUGCCAACUCCUAA